rnacentral:ncRNA from 1 species
CACUGUGCUGGUCGGAAUAGCAAUAACGACAGCAGCACAGGAAGAGCGGGGGACUGUGAGGAAGUUCUGAAACACCCCGGCAGGCGGCGAAGGCAGCACCUGUGAACGAAAAGGCUACCGGGU